rnacentral:rRNA from 1 species
UCCCCUAGUAACUGCGAGUGAAGCGGGAAAAGCUCAAAUUUAAAAUCUGGCGGUCUUUGGCCGUCCGAGUUGUAGUCUGGAGAAGUGCUUUCCGCGCUGGACCGUGUAUAAGUCUCUUGGAACAGAGCGUCAUAGAGGGUGAGAAUCCCGUCUUUGACACGGACUACCAGUGCUUUGUGAUGCGCUCUCAAAGAGUCGAGUUGUUUGGGAAUGCAGCUCAAAAUGGGUGGUGAAUUCCAUCUAAAGCUAAAUAUUGGCGAGAGACCGAUAGCGAACAAGUACCGUGAGGGAAAGAUGAAAAGCACUUUGGAAAGAGAGUUAAACAGUACGUGAAAUUGCUGAAAGGGAAACGCUUGAAGUCAGUCGCGUUGUUCGGAACUCAGCCUUGCUUUUGCUUGGUGCAUUUUCCGGAUGACGGGUCAGCAUCGAUUUUGACCGUCGGAAAAGGGCUGGAGUAAUGUGGCACCUCCGGGUGUGUUAUAGACUUCAGUCGCAUACGGCGGUCGGGAUCGAGGAACGCAGCGCGCCGUANGGCAGGGGUUCGCCCACUUUCGCGCUUAGGAUGCUGGCAUAAUGGCUUUAAACGACCCGUCUUGAAACACGGACCAAGGAGUCUAACAUACCUGCGAGUGUUUGGGUGGCAAACCCGAGCGCGUAAUGAAAGUGAAAGUUGAGACCUCUGUCGUGGAGGGCAUCGACGCCCGGACCUGACGUUCUCUGACGGAUCCGCGGUAGAGCAUGUAUGUUGGGACCCGAAAGAUGGUGAACUAUGCCUGAAUAGGGUGAAGCCAGAGGAAACUCUGGUGGAGGCUCGUAGCGAUUCUGACGUGCAAAUCGAUCGUCAAAUUUGGGUAUA